CCUACGGGUGGCUGCAGUCGAGAAUCUUCGGCAAUGGGCGCAAGCCUGACCGAGCGACGCCGCGUGCGGGAUGAAGGCCUUCGGGUUGUAAACCGCUGUCGUAGGGGAGGCCGAUCCUAGGAGGAAGGGCCGGCUAAUCUCGUGCCAGCAGCCGCGGUAAUACGAGAGGCCCAAACGUUAUUCGGAAUUACUGGGCUUAAAGAGUUCGUAGGCGGCGCGGAAAGUAGGGUGUGAAAGCCCUCGGCUCAACCGAGGAAUUGCGCUCUAAACUGCCGUGCUUGAGGAACCUAGAGGUGAGCAGAACUGAUGGUGGAGCGGUGAAAUGCGUUGAUAUCAUCAGGAAUACCGGAGGCGAAGGCGGCUCACUGGGUUUUCUGACGCUGAGGAACGAAAGCCAGGGGAGCGAACGGGAUUAGAUACCCUUGUAGUC
rnacentral:rRNA from 1 species